GAUGAGAAGAGCUUGCUCUUCGAUUCAGCGGCGGACGGGUGAGUAAUGCCUAGGAAUCUGCCUGGUAGUGGGGGACAACGUUUCGAAAGGAACGCUAAUACCGCAUACGUCCUACGGGAGAAAGCAGGGGACCUUCGGGCCUUGCGCUAUCAGAUGAGCCUAGGUCGGAUUAGCUAGUUGGUGGGGUAAUGGCUCACCAAGGCGACGAUCCGUAACUGGUCUGAGAGGAUGAUCAGUCACACUGGAACUGAGACACGGUCCAGACUCCUACGGGAGGCAGCAGUGGGGAAUAUUGGACAAUGGGCGAAAGCCUGAUCCAGCCAUGCCGCGUGUGUGAAGAAGGUCUUCGGAUUGUAAAGCACUUUAAGUUGGGAGGAAGGGCAGUAAGCUAAUAUCUUGCUGUUUUGACGUUACCGACAGAAUAAGCACCGGCUAACUCUGUGCCAGCAGCCGCGGUAAUACAGAGGGUGCAAGCGUUAAUCGGAAUUACUGGGCGUAAAGCGCGCGUAGGUGGUUUGUUAAGUUGGAUGUGAAAGCCCCGGGCUCAACCUGGGAACUGCAUCCAAAACUGGCAAGCUAGAGUACGGUAGAGGGUGGUGGAAUUUCCUGUGUAGCGGUGAAAUGCGUAGAUAUAGGAAGGAACACCAGUGGCGAAGGCGACCACCUGGACUGAUACUGA
rnacentral:rRNA from 1 species